rnacentral:rRNA from 1 species
GACGAACGCUGGCGGCGUGCUUAACACAUGCAAGUCGAACGGAAAGGCCCUGCUUUUGUGGGGUGCUCGAGUGGCGAACGGGUGAGUAACACGUGAGUAACCUGCCCUUGACUUUGGGAUAACUUCAGGAAACUGGGGCUAAUACCGGAUAGGAGCUCCUGCUGCAUGGUGGGGGUUGGAAAGUUUCGGCGGUUGGGGAUGGACUCGCGGCUUAUCAGCUUGUUGGUGGGGUAGUGGCUUACCAAGGCUUUGACGGGUAGCCGGCCUGAGAGGGUGACCGGCCACAUGGGGACUGAGAUACGGACCAGAAGCCUACGGGAGGCAGCAGUGGGGAAUAUUGCACAAUGGGCGGAAGCCUGAUGCAGAAACGCCGCGUGCGGGAUGACGGCCUUCGGGUUGUAAACCGAUGUCGAAUGUGACGAAGAGUGAGUGACGGUAAUGGGUAAAGAAGCACCGGCUAACUACGUG